ensembl:lncRNA
UUUUUAUUUUCUGGUAACAUUUUUUAAAUUAUUAUACAAAAAAUAAAAGUAAGUAAAUUAUUAUUGUUCACUCAAGAUGCACCAGAGAGCUUGGACUGAACCUAAAUUUAAAACACACAGAUUUGGCCUUGAUGUGAACAGUCACUGGUAAACACUAAUCUAAAGAAGGGAGUAUAGGACAGCUACAGUUUUUUCUUCUGAAUGGGCGGCUGUGGAACCAGUUUGGUGAUGGUAAGAGGUUGCCACAUGUGGGCAUUUUCCAACUCUUCACGCCUUUUUAUUAGCCGUCUCCGGUGAGUAGAAACGUGGCCCAGAACUUCCCCAGUGAGUGCACGCCUCGAUCCGUCUUUUGCACAUGGUCUGCAAAUAGGAGGCAGUGGAACCAGUUUGGUACUGGUAAAACUGCUAAGUCCUUUGCCCUCACUGCGCCUUUCUUCAGUUAUGGACUGGAAGCAUUUUUGUUCUUCAGCUACUUCCAGUUUUUGCACCUCCUUCUCUCUCUGAAGGCGUUUUAAGGAAAUUUCCUGCAGCCUUUCCUCAUAGGCUUUUUGUUUUUUGGCAGCAAUUUCCAGAACCUGUUGCUUUUUUUCCUGGUCUGCCUUUUUGUCUGAUUCCAAGCGUGUCUUUAUUUCUUCCUUCUUCUGAUCUUCUACUUUCAUCUUUUCUUUUUCCUUUGCGAUCAUCGUGGAUUUAUUAUAUUCGAUAGCAGCCUUUUUCAUCUCAGCUUUUUUCUUCUUUUGCUCUUUCUGCCGUCUUUCUUCAUCAGCAUUUUUUUGAGCCCUGACUGCUGCUAUCACGUCAUGCUCUAGAGCGAUCUUUGCUGCCUGUUCUCUUUGUAUGCAGGUCAGCCGUUCAAACACUUUUUUCUUUGCAGUUUCACGAUCUCUCAUUAAUUGUUCCAUCUUCAGCCGAUUCUGACCGUGCCUUUCUUCAACUAUGGACUGGAAGCAUUUUUGUUCUUCAGCUACUUCCAGUUUUUCCACCUCCUUCUGUCUCUGGAGGUGUUUUGAAGAAAUUUUCUGCAGCCUUUCCUCAUAGGCUUUUUGGUUUCUGGCAGCAAUUUCCAGAACCUGUUGUUUAUUCUUCUCCCGUUGCAUGGCUUUGUCUUCCCACUCUGUGCACACUCUGUCAGAUAGCAGUUGUCUUACCUUCUGUCUUCU